rnacentral:rRNA from 1 species
UCGCCUGUUUAUCAAAAACAUGUCCUCUUGUAUUAUAAUAUGAGGUCUGACCUGCCCACUGAGAUUAAUCUUGAAGGGCCGCGGUAUUUUGACCGUGCAAAGGUAGCAUAAUCAUUAGUCUUUUAAUUGAAGGCUAGAAUGAAUGGUUGGACGAGGUAUUGACUGUCUCUAUGUGAAUGAAAUUAGAAUUUAACUUUUGAGUGAAAAGGCUUAAAUUUGUUUAGAGGACGAGAAGACCCCAUAGAGCUUUAUAAUAAAUUUUUUACAAUUUGUUUAGAAGUUUUUUUAUUGUAUUGAUUUUAUUAUUUUGUUGGGGUGACAGGAAGAUAUAAUAAACUCUUUUUAUUAAUUAAACAUUUAUGUAUGAAUUUUUGAUCCAUUUUUAAUGAUUAUAAGUCUAAGUUACCUUGGGGAUAACAGCGUAAUCUUUUUCGAGAGUUCUUAUCGACAAAAAGGGUUGCGACCUCGAUGUUGGAUUAAGGGUAAUUUUGGGUGUAGAUGUUCAAAGUUUAGGUCUGUUCGACCUUUAAAUCCUUACAUGAUCUGAGUUCAAACCGGAGA